CCUUCCCCCGCCCCCAUUCUUCGCAGCCUAGCAGCGGCCGCGGCAGUCUCCUGGGAACACAGCUCCGUGGGAGAGCGGAGUUGGAGUUGUCGGGAGAAAACCAACUCUAGGGGUGAUGCGCUGCCGCAGUCCGGCUAGCAGCCCCACUUCCCGGUGUCCUGCGCCGGGUGGAACUCCUCUGGGGGACUCCAAACCGGGGACACGCAGCUCCUGGCGCCCGUACAGCGUUCUUAUCUGGUAGCUCGCUCCGCUUGUUACCCGUUCCUCGCAAAACUAUGACCGGUUGCCCAGUGUAAACUCCCCCAAACACGAUGGUUUGGUGCCCUCCGCCAUUCCGGAAAGCGCUGCCCUUCUGGAAGGGAAGCUGGAGGGGCAUUCCGGGCCCUGAGGCGCGGCUAAGAUUCCCUACCCUUUUGGCGAAGACCACCGCAUCCCACGUUUGUUCUGGUGGCGGCGUGGGGGUGCGGGGAUUAAUGCCUAGAAAGCUCUCGCUGGCUUUUCCGAAGGUGGCUUUUUGUCUGCCCUCUGUCUCCUGCUGCCCUCAGGGACUGCUGGGCUUUGUAGGGAGGGGAGCAAGGAGGGGUUUGCUUUUUGGAACGUGCAGGAGGAGACUGGAGCCGUGUGGAGCGCCGUCAACACCCUGGCGCAGGGAUGCCUGGGUUUGACUUAUUGAGAGACACGUGUGGGAGCAGUUGAAAUUGGAAAUUCAAGGGGAUAUAUACCCCCAAACCGGGCAGGAAAGCCCGGUGAGCGCAUUUGCAAGGCCAAUUCCAGACUGGACUUACAGCGUUGGGGCGGCGUCAUGCCGGUCCGAGGCUGGGUCCGGCCCGCUGCUCUUUGCGCCCCCGGAGGUUCAGUGGCCGGGUCUCUGAGAGGAGAUGGGUGCCCACUUUGGGGAGCGUGCUGUCGGCAUUGGGUUCCUGUGCAUGCAAGCGAAAUAGUUUGGAGAGCAAACGUAUGGAAGCACAGCAGGCAUCAGGACGUGGGCAGUUUCCUCCCUGCCCCUCUUCUUGGCUAGCCAGAGAUCCCUGUCUGUUUGCCGGAAGCUGCCCACGGGUGCCAUUGUGUCGGAUCCCAACCAGCCCUCCCAAAGAAGAAAUGAUCAUCAGAGAAGUGUCCCCAAAGGAGAUGAACCUGGGACCCCAUGUGUUCUGGGGGCGGUGGAGGGAGCACACCAAACCCUUACCUAUCCUCCAUUGACUGUCGAGAGCGUCUUCCUCCACCUGGAUUCCAGGAGUCUGCAUUCCUUGGAAGAGCUCUUUUUAUGUCUCCCUCUUCUGCACUAGCCACUUAAGCAACUUGAAUAUUUCUGUCAGAUUUCGAUGUCUCCAAAGAUGGUGGAGAAACAGAGCAUUGGAUGUCUGCCCUUCUGAGGAAAUUACUGUAAUAAUAAAGUAAUGCCUUGGGAAAGA